rnacentral:rRNA from 1 species
GACGAACGCUGGCGGCGUGCUUAACACAUGCAAGUCGAACGGAAAGGCCCUGCUUGCAGGGUACUCGAGUGGCGAACGGGUGAGUAACACGUGGGUGAUCUGCCCUGCACUUCGGGAUAAGCUUGGGAAACUGGGUCUAAUACCGGAUAGGACCGCACUUUAGUGUGUGUGGUGGAAAGUUUUUUCGGUGUAGGAUGAGCUCGCGGCCUAUCAGCUUGUUGGUGGGGUAAUGGCCUACCAAGGCGGCGACGGGUAGCCGGCCUGAGAGGGUGUACGGCCACAUUGGGACUGGGAUACGGCCCAGACGCCGACGGGAGGCAGCAGUGGGGAAUAUUGCACAAUGGGCGCAAGCCUGAUGCAGCGACGCCGCGUGGGGGAUGAAGGCCUUCGGGUUGUAAACUCCUUUCGCUAGGGACGAAGCUUUUUGUGACGGUACCUAGAUAAGAAGCACCGGCUAACUACGUG